rnacentral:tRNA from 1 species
GGAAGUGUGCCUGAAUCAAAGGAUCACUUUGAUAGAGUGAAUCAUGAAGGUUGAAACCCUUCCGCUUCCU